UCACUGGGUAUGUAAUGACAGU
rnacentral:miRNA from 1 species